UGUAGACCUGUCAGAAUGCUUGUAAAAUUCUUAUGGAGUUCAACUGACUGUUUCAAAUUAAUUUUUUGCAGCUUGUUAUAUGUAUAAUACCAUAUGUACAGUAUUAAAUUACCUUGAAGUUUAGACAUGUUAGUAAAACGGAAAGGAUACUAAGGAAGAAGCAAAGUUUGGAAGUGGAAAUAAGAUCAAACCAUUCAUAUUUCAUACGAUAUGAUAUAUAAGAUUUAUAUGAAAGUUUUUAAAGUUCAGAUUUGAAGUAUAGAAAUUUUAAAUUUUUCCUGAUACACUAACAAAAUGUGAAUAAAACACUUUAUGUAAUUAAGUGUUUUGAGAUGACAGUUUUGCAAGUCUAUAGCUAUUAUAUUUUGUUUAGGUUAUAAUCCAAUACCGCCAUUUGUGCUUAACUUUAGCUUGAAGUUCUUAAUCCAAUAAAUAAUAUACUCUGUGAAAUACCGCACUGACAUGGACAAUUUGGAUAUUUUGUAGUCGAAUUUAUGACAUUACAUGUGCGCUAUUUUUAAACUAGUUAUAUAAAAUCAACAAUGUAUUAAAGAUGGCCGCAACAAAUUGCAAGUUUCAAAGCAGUAGUUACGAUCGUACGUGUCGACGAUUUAAUUAGAUGCCUAUAGGCAAUUUGUUGGACGUCUUGUUUUUUUACCUUGUUGAUUUACUACUUUACUUAUUUACUUGGUAACGCCGUUUUUCUAAUAACAACAGGAUUUUAUAUUAAGAUUUAUUUUAGAUGAUUUACUUCCAUACCGACUCUAUUAUGUUUAUCAGCUGGGUUUGAGUUUGGUGGUAAAUUAACUAUUAUGAUUAAACAUGUAAAUUUUAAUGCAAGCAUUAUGUUCUAAACUAAGCUGUCUGUAAUCUUUAUCUUAUGGAAACUAGUACUAAGACUUUAUUACCAAUUCAUUAUCAUCCAUAAAAAAUGGGUUGUGAUGAGUUGGUAUUAACUUCGAUAAUUAGUUUUUGAUAAUUAGUAUCGUACACAAAGACACAAUUAAUGUAUUUUUUUUCAAUACAUAAUACCAUUUGCUCACUAUUAUUAUACCAUUACUUAUACUUUGGCAAUGCAAUGAGAAAUUUUAAUUCCAGCAAAUUGAUUCUGAUAUAUGUCAGUACGACUUAGAAUGCACUAAGAAGGUGUUUUUGGAAUCCACUUGGAAACGAGAGAUACCUGAUUCUGCAAGUGCAAGUCGUAGAACUCAUUUUUAGUAGGGGAUAAAAUAAACUGCUAAAAUUAUGAAGCUUCUAGUACUAUAAAUUUGAUUUAAAGAGCAUCUGUAAUUAAUUAUAAUCACACAUCGUUAUGAGUGAACAAGCAAGAAGCGAUUAUUAACGAGCAAUUUCCAAUACAACAUAUCUUACAAUUGUAAAAGCAAUAUGUUUCAAUAAAAUUGAUUGUGACUAAAGAAAAGGGGAGAUUUUAAUGAUAAUCGACCAUUAUUAGUGGCAAAUGUGCACUUUAAUUUGCCUGUCGUAACAUUCUCCAAGUACGCGUCAAUCUGCAGAUUACGGUUUAAGAGCGUUCUAGACGCGAGCGUAGAAAGUUGCGGCGCGACUCAACGGCGCCUGCAUAUGUCCUGCGAUCCGCAUUCUCCCUUCCAACCUUUAAAAAUAAACUAAAAAAAUUAUAAAACAACAUCGUAAAACUAAAAACAAUGUACUGCGAACUCAUGGCUUUAGGAAAUUAAGUUGAAAGUAUCUAGUUCGCUUCUAGCCGCAAAGGACGCGUCUAAACAGAUUGAAAAUGUAAUGCAACUCUAUGUUAUUUGAGGCGCACUGUUUUAAUAAAGACUCGUCGAGUCGUAAAUUAUUUUUAAGUAAUAUGACAACAGAGUCGUAGUGCGCAUGUGUUAAUUAAUAUUAUAUAUACAGUAUGUGACACAUACCCUGAAAGACUGUGACUCCAGUCUGCUACGCCUCAUCACGCAAUUAUGUGACAGCGUGCGAACUUGGAUUGUGAAUCUUUUUUAAAUUUACAGAUGUUCAUAUUCAAUGACAUUUUUGAAAGUACGGAUGCAGAAUACUAGAAUAGAAAUAGAUUAUUUGACUUUAUAAUUUGGUUUGUGUAUUAAAAUAAAGCAAGACAAUAUAUACUAGAAAAUUACGUAACAGGACAACGUGUCAAUCCCAAAAUAAAUAUAAAGCAAAGCAAUCAUUUAUAGACGAUUAAUCAUAAUCGCAAAUAUUACGUAAUGAAAUUUAUGUAAAAUACGUAAGCGCAUCUCCAUGUAUUUAAUUCUAUCUGACUACAGUAGAUGCUAUCUGUGCAGGCUCCAAUAAUAGGAUAACAGAUACGGCCAAGGACGAAUAAAAUUUUGUUUAAUAGUAUCCUAAAAAGGAAGCAAGAACGUUACUGUUUGAUUUAAAACACAAUCACGUGUCAAUGGACGGAAGAAUUGGUAUAUUGUUCUGUUAAGCAACUCAAGAUUAUAACAAAAAUGGAUGGUUUUCACUAUAGAAUGCUUUAUAUUCAAAGAACUAUUGUUUGUAUUAUGAAAAGUCAAAUAACGAAUAAGUAUCUGAAGAAAUUCAGAUACGACCGAGAAGACACAGGUCCGAUGUAUCUUAAAUUUCCAUAAGGUGACAAUGACCCUGGAUAAUCCUUCUACUAUGCCAAAGAAGUUAGUUUUCAAUCUCCUUUCUUUGGUUGUUUCUUCAAUUACAUUACAGUAUAUAGUAUAUCACCACAGACAUUUACUGCACCCAAAAAGGUCAUAUUAUAUCUAGAAUACAAAAAUAUGUUUUGGUUGUUAAAAUUCAUCGAGUAGAAACCAUUUUAUACUUUAUGCGUUGCGGAACAGCAAUAUUUGCAAUGGCAAUCACUGGCUCGAAUGGCGUCAUCCGUCGAUUUGUUGUAGUUAUAUUUAUGGGAAGCAACACCCAACCUAUGUGAUUUAUGAGUUAUGAAUAAAAACGGCAGUGCACAAAAGCUCAAGAUUACAGAAAGAAGAGCCUUAACCUACAUUUCAAAAUGAUUACAAAGUUUCGUCACAUCUGACACUUUCUAAAGAAACUGCUACAAGUAAUAACUGUGGCAAGACGCGGCAAAGCUUCCAGUGGAAACAUGCGAUAAUAAGGUAUAAUUGCAUACCACCACUGUGACUAUAUUUAGCUGCAAACUCUGGAACUAGCUGCGCAUGCGACUAGUGCAAUUACGUAAAGCGGUUGAGCCAUUUCUAAUCUAAAAAUAAUCGCAGGCUAUACAGACAUCGGCGCCACUGGGAUCGCAUGUGAAAGUAAAGACAAUUAUUUUUCACGACUAACAAAGUUAAAGGGAGGUAAAGUUUUUUAUAUUCUCAACCACAUGUGUUUGUAGAUUGUUACAUUCAAAGUUCAUUAGUUGACAGUAGCUAAGUGUAAUAAGUGAAUCAUAAAUAAUAUAACACCAAGAGAAUCACUGUAAAUAGUAAUAAAUAGGUACCAAAAUAAAGUCUACUAUAAUGACUGACUUUGAUUAUAAAAUCA